AUUGAACGCUGGCGGCAGGCCUAACACAUGCAGGUCGAGCGGAUGAAGGGAGCUUGCUCCUGGAUUCAGCGGCGGACGGGUGAGUAAUGCCUAGGAAUCUGCCUGGUAGUGGGGGAUAACGUCCGGAAACGGGCGCUAAUACCGCAUACGUCCUGAUGGAGAAAGUGGGGGAUCUUCGGACCUCACGCUAUCAGAUGAGCCUAGGUCGGAUUAGCUAGUUGGUGGGGUAAAGGCCUACCAAGGCGACGAUCCGUAACUGGUCUGAGAGGAUGAUCAGUCACACUGGAACUGAGACACGGUCCAGACUCCUACGGGAGGCAGCAGUGGGGAAUAUUGGACAAUGGGCGAAAGCCUGAUGCAGCCAUGCCGCGUGUGUGAAGAAGGUCUUCGGAUCGUAAAGCACUUUAAGUUGGGAGGAAGGGCAGUAAGUUAAUACCUGGCUGUUUUGACGUUACCUAAAGAAUAAGCACCGGCUAACUACGUG
rnacentral:rRNA from 1 species